GAUUAACGCUGGCGGCGUGCAUAACACAUGCAAGUCGAACGAAGUGGCGGACGGGUGAGUAACGCGUGAGUAACCUGCCUUAGAGAUGGGGAUAGCCUCUGGAAACGGAGAAUAAUACCAAAUGCUCUAAGAUGGACUUGCGUCUGAUUAGCUAGUUGGUGAGAUAAUAUCUCACCAAGGCAACGAUCAGUAGCCGACGUGAGAGAGUGUGCGGCCACAUUGGGACUGAGACACGGCCCAGACUCUACGGGAGGCAGCAGUGGGGGAUUGUGCACAAGGGGGUAAACCCUGAUGCGGCGACGCCGCGUGAUUUAGAAGGCCUUCGGGUUGUAAACCGCUUUCAGCCAUGACGCGGUAGUGGCAGAAGAAGCACCGGCUAACUACGUGCCAGCAGCCGCGGUAAUAC
rnacentral:rRNA from 1 species